rnacentral:tRNA from 1 species
CGUAUCGGGCGUGAAAGGUCCCAUGGUCUAGUGGUUAGGACAUUGGACUCUGAAUCCAGUAACCCGAGUUCAAAUCUCGGUGGGACCUU